GCAAGCGUUACUCGGAAUCACUGGGCGUAAAGGGCGCGUAGGCGGAUUAUCAAGUCUCUUGUGAAAUCUAAUGGCUUAACCAUUAAACUGCUUGGGAAACUGAUAGUCUAGAGUGAGGGAGAGGCAGAUGGAAUUGGUGGUGUAGGGGUAAAAUCCGUAGAUAUCACCAAGAAUACCCAUUGCGAAGGCGAUCUGCUGGAACUCAACUGACGCUAAGGCGCGAAAGCGUGGGGAGCAAACAGGAUUAGAUACCCUGGUAGUCCACGCCCUAAACGAUGUAUGCUAGUUGUUGGGGUGCUAGUCAUCUCAGUAAUGCAGCUAACGCAUUAAGCAUACCGCCUGGGGAGUACGGUCGCAAGAUUAAAACUCAAAGGAAUAGACGGGGACCCGCACAAGCGGUGGAGCAUGUGGUUUAAUUCGAAGAUACGCGAAGAACCUUACCUAGGCUUGAUAUCCAACAAAUUCUGUAGAGAUACGGAAGUGCUAGCUUGCUAGAAUGUUGAGACAGGUGCUGCACGGCUGUCGUCAGCUCGUGUCGUGAGAUGUUGGGUUAAGUCCCGCAACGAGCGCAACCCUCGUCCUUAGUUGCUAACGAUUCGGUCGAGCACUCUAAGGAGACUGCCUUCGUAAGGAGGAGGAAGGUGGGGACGACGUCAAGUCAUCAUGGCCCUUACGCCUAGGGCGACACACGUGCUACAAUGGCAUAUACAAUGAGACGCAAUACCGCGAGGUGGAGCAAAUCUAUAAAAUAUGUCCCAGUUCGGAUUGUUCUCUGCAACUCGAGAGCAUGAAGCCGGAAUCGCUAGUAAUCGCAAAUCAGCCAUGUUGCGGUGAAUACGUUCCCGGGUCUUGUACUCACCGCCCGUCACACCAUGGGAGUUGAUUUCACUCGAAGUGGAAAUACUAAACUAGUUAUCCCCCACAGUGGAAUCAGCGACUGGGGUGAAGUCGUAACAAGGUAACCGUAGGAGAACCUGCGGUUGGAUCACCUCCUUUCUA
rnacentral:rRNA from 1 species